rnacentral:rRNA from 1 species
CGUCUUAUGAUAGAGGUCCCGCCUGCCCUGUGACUAUAUGUUUAACGGCCGCGGUAUUUUGACCGUGCGAAGGUAGCGCAAUCACUUGUCUUUUAAAUGAAGACCCGUAUGAAUGGCACCACGAGGGCUUAGCUGUCUCCCUCUCCCAGUCAAUGAAAUUGAUUUCCCCGUGCAGAAGCGGGGAUAAAAACAUAAGACGAGAAGACCCUAUGGAGCUUAAGACGCCAGGGCAGCUCAUGUUAAACACUCCAGAAUAAAGGAAAAAAACUGAAUGAAGCCCUGCUCUAGUGUCUUUGGUUGGGGCGACCGCGGGGAAAAACUUAACCCCCAUGUGGAAUAGGAAUACUAUUUUCCUAAACCCAAGAGCUCCCGCUCUAAUAAACAGAAUUUCUGACCAUAAAAGAUCCGGCAAUGCCGAUCAACGGACCGAGUUACCCUAGGGAUAACAGCGCAAUCCUCUUAAAGAGUCCCUAUCGACAAGGGGGUUUACGACCUCGAUGUUGGAUCAGGACAUCCUAAUGGUGCAGCCGCUAUUAAGGGUUCGUUUGUUCAACGAUUAAAGUCCUACGUGAUCUG